AAAACUUUUAAAGCUUAAUAAUUGUGCAUUGAAAUUAUUUUGCCCACAACGUAAAGGGGUGAUUACAGCAUUAAUACCCUUGAAACCAUGUACAUAUUUUAAGUGUACUACUAAUUUGCUGUAUGGACCUGGAACGAUGGACUUACACAAAAAAACAAGCAUACUAGCAGCAGUGCAUUACAGUGAGAAAAAUAAUUAAAGUGAAAUAAAGAAAGAAUUAUACACCAAUUAAGAGUGAUGUAGUUUCUCCUGAAAAUACAGAUGUAAGAGAUGA